UACGUAGGGUGCAAGCGUUGUCCGGAAUUAUUGGGCGUAAAGAGCUCGUAGGCGGCUUGUCACGUCUGCUGUGAAAACUUGGGGCUCAACUCCAAGCCUGCAGUGGAUACGGGCUAGCUAGAGUGCGGUAGGGGAGACUGGAAUUCCUGGUGUAGCGGUGAAAUGCGCAGAUAUCAGGAGGAACACCGGUGGCGAAGGCGGGUCUCUGGACCGAUACUGACGCUGAGGAGCGAAAGCGUGGGGAGCGAACAGGAUUAGAUACCCUGGUAGUCCACGCCGUAAACGUUGGGCGCUAGGUGUGGGGAACUUUCCACGUUCUCCGUGCCGCAGCUAACGCAUUAAGCGCCCCGCCUGGGGAGUACGGCCGCAAGGCUAAA
rnacentral:rRNA from 1 species